GUUAGCAAUGGGGAGCCACUGAAGUUUCCUUGGUAGAUGACUAACAGGCUCUGAGAGUAUCUCAAGGAAGAUUAAUCUGGCAGCAUUAAAUCAAUUUUGAAAAGUUUUUUGAGCAUGCAACUUUCAGGCUACAAAUAAUUACACCAAGGAACAAGGGAUGUAAAUCCAGAUGUACAGACUUUGUGGAAGACAUGAUGAUAAAGAACACACGUCCUUGGAGCUAGAGUCAAGUUGCUGACAUAAAGACUGCGCUACAAUAUGCUUUGCCUUCUAUCCUGAUGUCAGUGAAGUCAGGGCAAGUCUUCUGCUUUGGCUGGUGUUUUAGUACUUUCCAUUAGCAGCUUACACAUAAAAGUACGCUUUUAGAAGUCCACCAAUUAUUUUAGGAAUUUAUCUAUAUUUGAAAAGUGAGGCAAUUUCAAAAGAGAUAGCAGCCACCCAUCUAUAAUGAAAGCUGUGUUUUGACUAUUAAAUGGAACUACAAGGCUACAUAUAAGAAUUAGACCUGCCUGAAAUGCAGAAUUCAAAAUGAGGAAAGCCAACAGGAG
rnacentral:lncRNA from 1 species